CCUACGGGAGGCAGCAGUGGGGAAUAUUGGGCAAUGGACGCAAGUCUGACCCAGCAACGCCGCGUGAAGGAAGAAGGCUCUCGGGUUGUAAACCUCCUUUUAGGGGGAAGAGCAGAAGACGGUACCCCUUGAAUAAGCCAUGGCUAACUACGUGCCAGCAGCUGCGGGAAUACGUAGGUGGCAAGUGUUGCCCGGAUUUACUGGGUGUAAAGGGCGUGUAGGCGGAUAGACAAGUCAGAUGUGAAAUCCACGGGCUCAACCCGUGAACUGCAUUUGAAACUGUUUCCCUUGAGUGUCGGAGAGGUAAUCGGAAUUCGUUGUGUAGCGGUGAAAUGCGUAGAUAUAAGGAAGAACACCGGUGGCGAAGGCGGAUUACUGGACGAUAACUGACGGUGAGGCGCGAAAGCGUGGGGAGCAAACAGGAUUAGAUACCCCUGUAGUC
rnacentral:rRNA from 1 species